GGGGCUGUAGCUUAGUGGUAGAGCACUUGCCUCACAUGCGUGAGGACCUGGGUUUGAAUCUCAGCACCA
rnacentral:tRNA from 1 species